CCUACGGGUGGCAGCAGUGGGGAAUAUUGCGCAAUGGGGGCAACCCUGACGCAGCAACGCCGCGUGAUUGAAGAAGGCCUUCGGGUUGUAAAGCUCUUUAAUUGGGGACGAAACAAAUGACGGUACCUAAAGAAUAGGCACCGGCUAAAUACGCGACAGCAGCCGCGGUAAUACGUAGGGCGCGAGCGUUAUCCGGAUAUACUGGGUGUAAAGGGCGAGUAGGCGGGCUGGCAAGUUGGGAGUGAAAUCCCGGGGCUUAACCCCGGAACUGCUUCCGAAACUGCUGGUCUUGAGUGAAGGAGAGGCAGGCGGAAUUCCGUGUGUAGCGGUGAAAUGCGUAGAGAUACGGAAGAACACCGGUGGCGAAGGCAGCCUACUGGACAUUAACUGACGCUGAGGAGCGAAAGCGUGGGGAGCAAACAGGAUUAGAUACCCGGGUAGUC
rnacentral:rRNA from 1 species